AAGUACCCUGACCUACGAUAAAAUAGUCGGUCUUAACACAUCAAAAAGUGUUAUGGUAUGUUUUGAUCACACAUUUUUUGUGUUAUUAAAAACAUUUUUUAUUGUAGUGACUCUCUCUCUCUCUCGACUCUCUCUCUCAUCCUCUAGAAGACUUAGUUGAUUUUUGGAGUUUUGGAGGAGAAAUUCAAAACUAAAGCUUGGUGCUUGGGGAGGAUAAGCCUAGGGUGCUGGAGAGCUGGAUUAAGCUCGAAAAUCUUCAUUGAGGUAAGGUCACUUUCAAUUUUUGAGGAUCAAUUCUGUUGAGAUUUAAUUUAGUUGAUUUCUUGGACUUAAGACUUGCUUUGUUGAGAAUUAGGAUGAGUUAGUUAGUUUCCGGGGUUCUAGCACUGCUUAAGGUAUAUUAGAAUAAUUGUGGGACUCAAUUAUGAUUUUGGGGUAUGUUUAGAAUGAUAAAGUUAGCUCGUAGAAUUUCAUGGAAUUUCUAGGUUUGGAGGCUCGAGCCGCCGCCCUGUUCUUUAGGCAUCGCAGCCCGUGUGUGUCGAAGAGGCUGGAAGCCUCUGUCUGCCAGGUGAGCCGCGACCCAAUGUUUGGAGUGCCACAGCCUGUGUCCCUCAACAGAGAGGCAUUUUUCCUCUGACUUGAGCGUGACGCAGCCCUUAAGUGGCUGGGCUGCGGCUCAAAUUCAAAAUAUUGGCUGUUUGAAGGUUUUUAGCUCAGGAUCCCAAGGUCCCCAAGGCUAGAAUUAUGUUCCGAACUUAUUUAUUGGAUUAGAUAUUGAUGGAUGGCUAUUAUGAAUGUAUUUUGACUAGGUUUUCAGUGAGUCUCGGGUUAGAGGACUGUGCUCGAGAUUGUGGUGCUCAGGAAACUUGGGACAUAGUGCAUAUUUGUGAAUGAACGACGAAGACCAAAAAUAGCGAAGGUCGAGAACGGCAGGAAGCCGAGUACGGCAAGGGGCCGAGAACGGCAUUGAGCACGCAGAGUGGAGAGCUGAGUUCCAUAAGGGGAUGGGAACGACAUUGGGCACGCAGAGUGCAAGCUGUUAGGGCGUGACCCUCCUAGGAUGCUGGAGUCAUCCUCUAGGUGAAGACUGCAAACCCAGGGCCUGGUAAGGACAAGGGAAAGGUCGACCAACCAUGAGCACGGAGAGAGUGGAGCGAUGGGUACAUGUUCAGCCUGCCUAGCCGCCACGACUAGGGUUGUUUUGGGAAAAUGAAAUGUACUGUAAUAGUUGUUUUGUCGCUAAGUCGACCACGUGUACAUUUUUCUUUGUAACAUAUUUUCUAAAUAGAAUUUUGGGAUCCCAACUGUAAAACUUUCUAAGAUUUCAAUGAAUAACCAAAUGUUUUAUA